GGUAGUGUGGUCUAGUGGAAAGAGCAUGGACCUGGGAAUCAAAGGACCUGGGUUCUAAUCCCAGCUCCUCCA
rnacentral:tRNA from 1 species